rnacentral:rRNA from 1 species
UACGUAGGGAGCAAGCGUUGUCCGGAAUCAUUGGGCGUAAAGCGCGCGUAGGUGGCUUCGUAAGUCCGUUGUGAAAGUCAAAGGCUCAACCUUUGAAAGCCGAUGGAUACUGCGGAGCUAGAGUACGGAAGAGGCGAGUGGAAUUCCUGGUGUAGCGGUGGAAUGCGCAGAUAUCAGGAGGAACACCAAUAGCGAAGGCAGCUCGCUGGGACGUUACUGACACUGAGGCGCGAAAGCUAGGGGAGCGAACAGG